GGAGGAAAGUAGGGGAUCGCAAGACCUCACGUUAUAGGAGCGGCCGAUGUCCGAUUAGCUAGUUGGUGGGGUAAAGGCCUACCAAGGCGACGAUCGGUAGCUGGUCUGAGAGGAUGAUCAGCCACACUGGGACUGAGACACGGCCCAGACUCCUACGGGAGGCAGCAGUGGGGAAUUUUGGACAAUGGGCGAAAGCCUGAUCCAGCCAUGCCGCGUGCGGGAAGAAGGCCUUCGGGUUGUAAAGCUCUUUCGGCCGGAACGAAAUCGUCCGGGCUAAUACCUCGGAUGGAUGACGGUACUGGAAGAAGAAGCACCGGCUAACUACGUGCCAGCAGCCGCGGUAAUACGUAGGGUGCAAGCGUUAAUCGGAAUUACUGGGCGUAAAGCGUGCGCAGGCGGUUUUGUAAGUCAGAUGUGAAAUCCCCGGGCUUAACCUGGGAACUGCGUUUGAAACUACAAGGCUAG
rnacentral:rRNA from 1 species